rnacentral:rRNA from 1 species
AGUCUGGCCUGCCCAAUGAUUUUUGAAUGGCCGCAGUAUUUUGACUGUGCAAAGGUAGCAUAAUCAUUAGUUUUUUAAUUGAAAGCUGGAAUGAAAGGUUUGAUGAGAAAAUAACUGUCUCUGUAUGAAUGAUUUAGAAUUUCAAUUUUAAGUGAAAAAGCUUAAAUUUUUUAUAAAGACGAGAAGACCCUAUAGAGUUUUAUAUUUGACUUGAUUUAGAAUUUUUGGAAGUUAUUUUUUUUAUUUUGGGUUAAUUAUUUCAUUGGGGCGAUGGAAAAAUUUAAUUAACUUUUUUUUGUUUGUUACAUUGAUUUAUGAAUAUUUGAUCCUUAUUUUUGGAUUAUAAGACUAAAUUACCUUAGGGAUAACAGCGUAAUUUUUUUUGGAGAGUUCUUAUCGAUAAAAAAGUUUGCGACCUCGAUGUUGGAUUAAAGUUAAAUUCUGGUGUAGAAGCUGGAAUUUUAGGUCUGUUCGACCUUUGAAAUUUU